GACGAACGCUGGCGGCGUGCUUAACACAUGCAAGUCGAACGGUAAGGCCCUUUCGGGGGUACACGAGUGGCGAACGGGUGAGUAACACGUGGGUGAUCUGCCCUGCACUUUGGGAUAAGCCUGGGAAACUGUGUCUAAUACCGGAUAGGACUACGCGAUGCAUGUCGUGUGGUGGAAAGCUUUUGCGGUGUGGGAUGGGCCCGCGUCCUAUCAGCUUGUUGGUGGGGUGAUGGCCUACCAAGGCGACGACGGGUAGCCGGCCUGAGAGGGUGUCGGGCCACACUGGGACUGAGAUACGGCCAGGACUCCUACGGGGGGCAGCAGUGGGGAAUAUUGCACAAUGGGCGCAAGCCUGAUGAAGCGACGCCGCGUGGGGGAUGACGGCCUGCGGGUUGUAAACCCCUUUCAGCACAGACGAAGCGUAAGUGACGGUAUGUGCAGAAGAAGCACCGGCCAACUACGUG
rnacentral:rRNA from 1 species